rfam:Schistosoma rodhaini strain Burundi genome assembly, scaffold: SROB_scaffold0005016
ACCCAGCCGACGAGUUCCAAAUAGGACGAAACGUGUGUCCUGUGU